UCAUGUUGUUUUAAUUCGUAUGAUACGCGAAGAACCUUACCAGGUCUUGACAUCCCCCGCGAUGCUUUAGAGAUAAAGCGGAGGUAUUCGGGGAGACAGGUGGUGCAUGGUUGUCGUCAGCUCGUGUCGUGAGAUGUUGGGUUAAGUCCCGCAACGAGCGCAACCCCUAUUGCUAGUUACCAUCAUUAAGUUGGGGACUCUAGCGAGACUGCCAGUGAUAAACUGGAGGAAGGUGGGGAUGACGUCAAAUCAUCAUGCCCCUUAUGACCUGGGCUACAAACGUGAUACAAUGGCUGGAACAAAGGGAUGCGAAGCAGUGAUGUGGAGCGAAACCCAUAAAAACAGUCUCAGUUCGGAUUGAAGUCUGCAACUCGACUUCAUGAAGUCGGAAUCGCUAGUAAUCGCGGAUCAGAACGCCGCGGUGAAUACGUUCUCGGGGUUU
rnacentral:rRNA from 1 species